rnacentral:ncRNA from 1 species
UAACUGGAACCUGGAUCAGGUUCCGCCCUUGCGGCGGAUGAAAAGGGAAUACGGUGCGCCUUCAGGCAAUUCCGUGGCUGCCCCCGCAACUGUAACCGCAGAGCCGUUUCCAUGAUGUCACUGGGCCUAUGUCCGGGAAGACGGAAACACGGCGAUGACGCGGAAGCCAGGAGACCUGCCGGAUCCGGUCACCCUUG